GCCUUCGUGGUGUAGUGGUCAGCACGUUCGACGCGUAAUCGAGAGGGUCGCGGUUCGAGUCCCGGCGAGGGCA
rnacentral:tRNA from 1 species